rnacentral:tRNA from 1 species
GGGUUUGUGGUCAAAUGGCUACCACUUCUGCUUUAUAAGCAGAUGGUCAUGGGUUAAAUCCCAGGCCCA